AUACGUACACACAAAAAAAAGAAGAAGCCUCCAAAAAAAGAAGAAGAGAGAUGGCAGAAAGUAUGAAAAGAAGAAACACACAAACACCGCACACACAAAGAUAUGUGUCGUUUUUUGCAUCAAUCAAUUGUUCUGUUGUUGCUUUCUUGCUUUCUGUUU
rnacentral:ribozyme from 1 species